UGCGUAGGUGGUCUACUAAGUUGGAUGUGAAACCCCCGGGCUUAACUUGGGAACUGCAUCCAAUACUGGCGGACUAGAGUGCAGGAGAGGGAAGCGGAAUUCCUAGUGUAGCGGUGAAAUGCGUAGAUAUUAGGAGGAACACCAGUGGCGAAGGCGGCUUUCUGGACUGUAACUGACACUGAGGCACGAAAGCGUGGGGAGCAAACA
rnacentral:rRNA from 1 species